GUGCACCAGGCGCGAAUCCUUCGCAAUGCGGGAAACCGCGACGAGGGACUCCCAGUGCCUACGCUCAGCGUAGGCUGUUCCCGAGCCUAGAAAGCUCGGGGAGUAAGGGCUGGGUAAGACGGGUGCCAGCCGCCGCGGUAAUACCCGCAGCCCGAGUGGUGGCCACUAUUAUUGGGCCUAAAGCGUCCGUAGCCGGCCCGGUAAAUGCCUGGGUAAAUCGUGAGGCCUAACCUCACGAAUUCCGGGUAGACUGCCGGGCUAGGGACCGGAGGAGGGAGAGGGUACUCCAGGGGUAGGGGUGAAAUCCUGUAAUCCCUGGAGGACCACCGGUGGCGAAGGCGCUCUCCUAGGACGGGUCCGACGGUGAGGGACGAAAGCCAGGGGAGCGAACCGGAUUAGAUACCCGUGUAGU
rnacentral:rRNA from 1 species